rnacentral:misc_RNA from 1 species
GGCUGGAUCACCUCCUUUCUCGAGCUUAAAUCCGCGAAGUUGAGCGCUCACGCUUAUCGGCUGUGAAUCAGGACAGACUCAGGGGUCUGUAGCUCAGUCGGUUAGAGCACCGUCUUGAUAAGGCGGGGGUCGUUGGUUCGAAUCCAACCAGACCCACCAAUUGUCUGGCGAGAAGGGAACCUGAGUGUCUCUGUACGGGGGCAUAGCUCAGCUGGGAGAGCACCUGCUUUGCAAGCAGGGGGUCGUCGGUUCGAUCCCGUCUGCCUCCACCACAAUCUUCAAUGACAAGCGUUCGACUUGAGUCGAAUCUUUGUCCUUGGCGAUUGAGCCAGUCAGAGUGAUGCAGGCAACUGUAUCGGCUGUCGUUCUUUAACAAUCUGGAAGAAGCAAGUAAUUUGGAUAGCGGAAGCGUCUUUGAGAUGGACGUGGAAGUUAUCCGGGUUGUGAUUGUAUCGAUGUAUCUCAAGAUGAUUCGAACCGCAAGGUUGAACUCAUACUUGGAAUACGGCACAACGCGAGAACUCAACCUGUAACGUACUUUGUAUCGGAUCCUCGUAAGCGCUAAAGCGCUAACGAUGAUCGAGAGACAGACUCGUUAUAG